rnacentral:rRNA from 1 species
ACGGGUGAGUAAUGCGUAGGAAUCUGCCUAGUGGAGUGGGAUAACCUAGGGAAACUUAGGGUAAUACCGCAUAAGCCCUAUGGGGUAAAGCAGGGGACCGAAAGGCCUUGCGCUAUUAGAUGAGCCUACGUCGGAUUAGCUAGUUGGUGGGGUAAAGGCCUACCAAGGCGAUGAUCCGUAGCUGGUCUGAGAGGACGACCAGCCACACUGGGACUGAGACACGGCCCAGACUCCUACGGGAGGCAGCAGUGGGGAAUAUUGGACAAUGGGCGGAAGCCUGAUCCAGCGAUGCCGCGUGUGUGAAGAAGGCCUGCGGGUUGUAAAGCACUUUCGGUGGGGAGGAGAGGAUAUGGGAUAAUACCUUGUAUCUGAGACGUUACCCACAGAAGAAGCGCCGGCUAACUCUGUGCCAGCAGCCGCGGUAAUACAGAGGGUGCGAGCGUUAAUCGGAAUGACUGGGCGUAAAGGGUGCGUAGGUGGUUUGAUAAGUUAGGUGUGAAAGUCCUGGGCUUAACCUGGGGAUUGCGCUUAAGACUGUUGAGCUAGAGUACUGUAGAGGAAGGUGGAAUUUCC